AAUAAUUUGUCUGUGAUCAUACAACUAGAAAUGAUGUCAUUGCCAUGGACGAGAACCUUGAUAGCAUCACAAUUCCUACUUACUGGUCCCAAACCCCCCAACUCAGGAUUUCAACUUUAUGCUAUUGCCUUUCCCUCUGUGAUGUCACCCUAGACUCAAAAAUAUCCCUGAAUGCUACCACAUCCGCCUUUAGAGUUACUUUCAGACAAAGGGUCUCACUGGCUCUGUCACUCAGGCUGGAGUGCAAAGGCACCAUCAUGGUUCAUUGAAGUCUUGACCUCCCAGACUCAAGCCUAAUCUCUACAUUUUGAUAGAGAUGAUUCAAUCAUGUUAAAGGACUGCUAACGAUCAGCAAAUAGCCAAAGGCAGAGGAAUCAAUCCAAGAUCUCUUCAGUUCUUUCCUAAUCAGGGUUUCAUGAAGAUUAAUUAGAUACGUCCAUAAAAACAGGACUUGGACUUAAAGUAUAAUAAACAACAACAACAGGACUUGGAACAUAAUCUUCAGCAUGAUAUAAUGACAUGUUAUAAUUAUAGAAGUGUUAAGGUACGGCUGGGCUGGCUCCCUGAGUGACUCCUAAUAUGCAGUUUAGCAAGUGUUAGAAAGACAGGGUUUCUCAGUUCUACAGGAAGUGGUCAGAAGGCUGACACAGUAAGCUUUUGGGUAAGCUUUUGAACACUGGUGUACAACUUCUCUGAAAGCAGGGCGUUUGGUCCUCUGCCUUUCAGGAAUGUUCAUUUUCUAUGUCACUACUUGGCAGUCAUCUUCUUUAUGCAGCUAAACCGGGGGCGGCCAACAUGCUAUGUAUCAGAUGGUAGGAAAGAAGUAUUCGGUCUUUGACCUUGAGGAAUCCUGUGGCAGGUGAAGAGAGAAAAACUGGGUGGCUCUGAAAGCUCAGUUCCAUCUUCUUAUAGAAGCUUAGCAAGAAUCCAGCUCAGUAGUUCUGAGUUAGCAUAAAAAAAGAACACAUGGUAUCUGGCUCAUUCUAGCAGUGGUGGCUAAGCUGGCCCCUUUUCUGGUCAGAAAGCUCUCCCUCAGUGGCACAGGAACUGAUCCUUCUGGAGCAUUAGGGUCCACUCCUUGGAUGGCUUGAGGAGGGAGGCUACACCUCAAUGAGUCUUCUGCUUGUGCAAUUCCCCCCAAGUCUUACUUCACAGGUAUACUGCAUGGCACCAUGGGAUGUGGGCCUGCCCUCCUUGACUCACCAAGCUGAAUUCACUCACCUAAGAGAUAUCCUGGCAGUGCAAGCACACUAACCUUAAUUAUUUAUAAACACAGACUAGAAGAAAGUCAGAAUCAAAGUCAAGUGGAAUUCAAAAUGUAGGCAUGACAAUAAAACAGCCCUGGAUUCUGAGGUCCAACAGGUGGCAACAGGAAUGGCCCAAAAGUAUUUGUUUGGAGUUCAUCUCUACAUAUAAUUUGAUUUUCUGAAAAUCACUUUCUCCUGGAUUAGGCUGCAAUGAAAAUACCAAGGCAUGUGACAAGGACAGUGGUUACCCGAAUGGGCUUCUCAAAGGUGUGAAGUAACAAACUGAAUAACGCAAGUCCAAAAAUACCACUUAGGUCUCUAGAAAGUUGCAGUUUUAAGUAUUUUCAGUCCUGCAUUGCCCAGAUAAUUAGCCUUCUACCCAUUCUACAUGUUACAUAUGUAAGAAAACAAGCUUUUAAGAUAGAGACCAUAAAUCUUGGGGGACAAGAUAAAGUAUAUGCUGAUUUCCGCAUUUUCGUAAUGGUCUGCCUAGGGAAAUUUUCCCAAAUUAAUGAGUAUGUUCAUGGGCAAUAAAUUAAAUAAGACCACCCUGGUGGAUUCUUAAAAACGAACCUAUAAAUCAAAAGGAAAGUGAAUUUCACACAAGCACAAUUCAGAAUGUGAACAUUAGAAGACUUGGCUUUUGCUCUCAUACCUGGGCUCUCCUGAGUCAUUCUCCUCCUCUUCUUCCUCACUUCCGCUGUACUCAUACUCUGUCUCAUCUGAAGAAAGAUCCCAGCAUGUUAGUGCACAAAAAGAUGCUAUGGCUCAGUAAAGCCCAACCCCGUCUCUUAUAUAUAAAUAAAUAGACACCCAAAGAGUCGUAGUUAACACAGCGCUGGAACGGUCUCCAGGCUUGUGAUUUAAUGGUUCCCAUAAGUAUAUGAAAUUAACCACAUUCAAGGCUGUCUUGGCUGACUCUAGAUAUCUGUCCCCAGUGCCUAGUGUUCACAUGAGAAGAUAAGGAAUUAAAAAAUAUUGUUUUAAUUUUUUUAUUAAUUUAAUUUCAAUUAAAAAUAACUUGUUUGGCCGGGCACGGUGGCUCAUGCCUGUAAUCCCAGCACUUUGGGAGGCUGAGGCAGGCGGAUCACAAGGUCAGGAGAUUGAGACCAUCCUGGCUAACAUGGCAAAACCCCAUCUCUACUAAAAAUACAAAAAAAAUUAGCCGGGCCUGGUGGCGGGCGCCUGUAGUCCCAGCUACUUGGGAGGCUGAGGCAGAAGAAUGGUGCAAA